AGUGAACGCUGGCGGUAGGCCUAACACAUGCAAGUCGAACGGCAGCACAGUAAGAGCUUGCUCUUACGGGUGGCGAGUGGCGGACGGGUGAGGAAUACAUCGGAAUCUACUUUUUCGUUGGGGAUAACGUAGGGAAACUUACGCUAAUACCGCAUACGACCUACGGGUGAAAGCAGGGGAUCUUCGGACCUUGCGCGAUUGAAUGAGCCGAUGUCGGAUUAGCUAGUUGGCGGGGUAAAGGCCCACCAAGGCGACGAUCCGUAGCUGGUCUGAGAGGAUGAUCAGCAACACUGGAACUGAGACACGGUCCAGACUCCUACGGGAGGCAGCAGUGGGGAAUAUUGGACAAUGGGCGCAAGCCUGAUCCAGCCAUACCGCGUGGGUGAAGAAGGCCUUCGGGUUGUAAAGCCCUUUUGUUGGGAAAGAAAAGCAGCAGGUUAAUACCCCGCUGUUCUGACGGUACCCAAAGAAUAAGCACCGGCUAACUUCGUG
rnacentral:rRNA from 1 species